UCUUUAUUAACUUUUUUUUAUUACAGCAUUUAAUUUAACUAAAUUAUCUUGAAUACAUUUGCUUACAUCAACAAAAUAUUCAGGUCAGAUAGAAAUACCUGACAUCUGCACAUUUUUCACAGUAUAUUCAUAGCAUCAAAAAAUAAAAAUAAAAAAAUAAAAAAAUAAAAACCUUAUGAAUAUGAAUAAUCAACAACACAACACACGCGAAAGGACUAGAGGAACAGGGAAACUUACCCGAGAAACCAAAAAUAGAACCACCAGAUGAAUUUACGCAUUACGUAGAUGGCUAUCAGCCCUCAUUUAGAAUCAUAUAUAACAUAUAUAGAAGUUAAUGCAAAUAGUUUAUGCUGUCAGACAUGAAAAGCUUUAAACUGAUACUUUAUUAAGUUAUCCUUUUCAUCUGAAAAAUAAACGUUCAGUAAAGAAACCCUGGUUGGCACAUGUAGAUUUUUAAACUCCAGCUGAAAGCUGGUAAACAUGAGUCAUGCACGUUACAUUGAUUACAUCAUCCGCUACAUUUGAAUCCAUUAUGGAAAUUGCGAAAAACACGAGAAUGACGUUAGCAAAGUUAUACAUGCCAUAUUUACCCAGCGAGAUCCUGACACUGAUCAGUCUGUCAGAGGGGAGAGUUUUAUCACUCCACCCACACUACCAGGCCCCAGAAAGUCCUCAACAGCAUUAGAGCUUCUGUCACCCAUCAGCAGAGACAAAUAAAGCAGAUCUGUCAUAUUACAUGCCCCUGCUCUUCAGGUAAGAGGUUAAUUCAACAGAGACCAGCUAAGGGCCAUCAUCAAUCAUAAUUGUAGGAAGUCCUAUGAGAAAAGUCCAGAGUCAACAAUGUCAACAAUGACAUGGGAGAUCACAAAGCCAGUGGUAGACACUUUAGGUAAUUUCAAAUGCAGAUCACGAGACACCACUUAGAAGGAGUUGGUGGUGAAGAAUCCUGUGAAUCCUACUGCAGUUGUUGCCAGGAAUAAGAAGUUCACAAAGCAGGCUGGGCAGUCAAUGAUCAAUACCUCAGUUUCUCUAUAUAUGCCUGACCACCACACCAGGCUACAGCAGAGCUGUUUGAACUUUAUUAUG
ensembl:lncRNA